rnacentral:rRNA from 1 species
UACAGAGGGCGCGAGCGUUGUCCGGAAUCACUGGACGUAAAGGGCGCGUAGGUGGCCACUAUAAGGCCGCGGUGAAAGUUCGGGGCUCAACCCUGAAUCUGCCGCGGCGACUGUAGGGCUAGGGCACCGUAGAGGCAGAUGGAAUUCCGGGUGUAGCGGUGGAAUGCGUAGAGAUCCGGAAGAACACCGGUGGCGAAGGCGGCAUCCUGGACCGGCAUUGACGCUGAGGAGCGAAAGCCAGGGGAGCAAACGGG